rnacentral:ncRNA from 2 species
AAUAAAUUAUCGGGGUGUCCCGAUUCUAUCGGGACUGAGAUUAAACCCAUAGAACCUGAUCUGGGUAAUACCAGCGAAGGGAACAAAAAUUAAGUCCGU